GACGAACGCUGGCGGCGUGCUUAACACAUGCAAGUCGAACGGAAAGGCCCCUUUGGGGGUACUCGAGUGGCGAACGGGUGAGUAACACGUGAGUAACCUGCCCUUGACUUCGGGAUAACUUCAGGAAACUGGGGCUAAUACCGGAUAGGAAUCCUUGCUGCAUGGUGGGGGUUGGAAAGCUUCGGCGGUUUUGGAUGGACUCGCGGCUUAUCAGCUUGUUGGUGGGGUAGUGGCUUACCAAGGCUUUGACGGGUAGCCGGCCUGAGAGGGCGACCGGCCACAGUGGGACUGAGAUACGGCCCAGACUCCUACGGGAGGCAGCAGUGGGGAAUAUUGCACAAUGGGCGGAAGCCUGAUGCAGCAACGCCGCGGGCGGGAUGACGGCCUUCGGGUUGGAAACCGCUUUCAGCAGGGGCGAAGCUUGUGGUGACGGUACCUGCAGAAGAAGCACCGGCUAACUACGUG
rnacentral:rRNA from 1 species